ensembl:lncRNA
UACAGGGCAUUUAUAUUCUCAACUUUAUCCUCUUUUCUGUGUUCCAACCUUUCUAGUUUUCCUCUUUACACACUCAUACACACACGCACAUGCAACCACACUACAGUCUAUCCAAAUGCACACACUUUACAGUUUACCAGGCCUUGUCUAUGCCUGUCUGAUAUUCUGCAUCUCUCAUUUCUCAUCAAGAGGACCUAAAUUUGGGCUCCAGCACGCAGUAGAGUGCUUCUGUAAUCCCAACUCCAGGUGAUAUGGGAGACAGAGACAGUAGAACCCUAAGAAGCCGUAGGGCUGAAUGGCCUGGAACAGGCAGCACAGCAGCAAAAAUGAAAAGACACAAAGACAUCCUGUCUCAAACACGGUGGGAGGCAAGGGCCCACACCUGUGUCCUCUGUCCUGUACAAGCCUGUGUGUAUCCGUUUGCCUGCACUCACAAUAACACGAACGCACAGACAAAAAUUUUAAAACCAAAAACCAAACCAAAGCAAACCAAAACAAAAAAACCCCAGAAAACAAAACUAUAUGCCUAGUAAAGUCACAGCCUCUUUGUCUGUGUGAGUGCCCUUGGACGUUCAUGCCAGGUAAACAGCAAGCAUCUCCCUCCCAGUUUACCCUGGUUAAGGGAUGCACGGUUGCAUUUAAAAUUGUUUAAAGACAGAAAGAGUCCUUAGAAAUAUCUAGUCCUCUAAGGUUACUGUGACUUUAAAUGGAAACCAGGCCACUCACAGUGCACCUGAAACUUUUAAAACUGCCGGGAUUCGAUUACAACAUCAGGGUUUAAGGGAUUGCGAUUCAACUGUGGAGUGGGAACAAACUUGAAGAGACUUCAGUCAGACCGUCUACGCACCGCCUCAGCUAUGGGAAUGAAUAAACAGGGUUUCGGGUGGGGACAGGGCUCUGCACCCUUCACUGGAGUCAUGCGACACCUAUCACGGAAAGCGCACAAUGGACCCGGUCAGAAACCUCAGACCGGAUCUGUUCACAACCCUAGAGAGACUGCGAGGUGUGACACAAUCAAGGCCACCGGGCACCUUCCCCGAAGUGUCAAUCAGAGCAGCCCGACACCCCGGGAUCCCAUGGUCAGUCAGAGACGGCCCUGCUCCAGGCCUGACGCAAAUCCAGAGCCGGCCGACAUCCCCCUGCCUCCGCCGGCUCUCACACCCUUGCGGAUCUCCAGCCCUGACCAGUGCUUCCGUGGCUCUUUCCCUGUCGCGGUGGGGAGCAUCCCCAGCGGGCCCACCACACGGACUGCGCCCCUCCCCACUCACCGGCCGCCCACGCGGCGUCCUCGGGGACCGCGGGAGCGGGGAGAACCAGGCCCGCGGCGCUAAGGCGGACUGGAUACACGACCGGGGCGUGGCGCCUUGGCCGACAGGAGGCGUCAACGACCGGGAGGGGCGGGGCCUUCCGGCUGUCACUCGGCGGGGGGGGGGGGGGCGGGAUCACCGUGAAAGGGGCGGUGCCUUAACAUUUACCAGAAUCCAGCUUGAGCACAAGCCUCGUUUUAGAUGCACCAGACUUCCAGCCAGGCUUCAGAUCAAGAGAAAAAGGAAAAAGGUAUCAGAGAGAAAGGAAAAAGACAAAACGACAAAACCAAGAGGAAGCUCACUACCCUGCACUGAUCUCUCUUCAACUUUGGGGUUCCCCGUCCAGUCCACUGCUGCCAUUUACUUCAUUGCUGGUAUAUUUUGUCAGAUGUUUUAACAAUAAGAGUGAGACACAGGGCGUAGUGGGCUUCCUCCAGUUUGGUCAGAAAUGGAACCUAUUAAUCCAAUUAAAGAAGGUUUUAGGGACUGAGAAGACCUCAGCUGGUGAGGUGUUUGUGGUAGGACUUGAGAUAAUCCCCUUCACCACAGGAAAAGAUGGGAGUGUAGCACCUGCUUGUAACCUCAGCACAGGGGAGGCAGAGACAGAAGGACCCUAGGGUUUGCCAGACAGUCAAGAAAUUCCAGGUUCAAUGAGAGCCUGUCUCAAAAAAUAAGAAAAUGUGAGUGAUGUUGACCUCUGGCCUCCACAAGCACAAACACACACACACCACACACACACACACACACACACACACACAUAAAAAUAUAGAAGUAAAAAAAUGCAGACAAUGUUUUAAGUUGCUUUUCUCUUAUUCUGGGUUAAUAUCAUCUCCUCAUGUGGAGACAUGUGUAUUUCAUUUUCUGUGAACUUCCUACACAGUCUGCCCAUUUCUCUUCUUAAUAUGGAAGUUCUUAUAUAAGCAUAUAUAAGAGUAUAUUCUAUAUAAGAUUGAAAGGUCCUUCCUCCU